rnacentral:lncRNA from 1 species
CUGAGUGGGAGGCAAAGCUGCAAGUCAAGGAGUCAGAGAAGCUAAAGAUCAUUGCAGAGAGAGAUCACUAUAUGGCUGAGAGAGACCACUACUUCAGACAGAUGAAGAUUCAUCAGAAGGAAGUUGGAAGACUACAGCAGGAGAACAUAGAGCCCAGGUUCGCCGCAGAGUUCGCGAGGAUGGAGGGCGAGAUAGGGCCAUCUGCGGGACCCUCAUCCAGUUAGAUCUUUCUUUUGUUG